rnacentral:rRNA from 1 species
CUCUUGUAAGGUGAAGCCUGCCCAAUGACUGCUAAUAACUUAACCAAAACCAGUUCAAUGGCCGCGGUAACUCUGACCGUGAUAAAGUAGCAUAAUCACUUGUCACUUAAUUGGUGACUGGAAUGAAUGGCUAAACGAAUCCCUACCUGUCUCUGAAAGAACUCCGGCAAAUUUGAAAUAAUAGUGAAGAUGCUAUUAGAUAAUUGUAAGACGAAAAGACCCUAUCGAGCUUUACUGAAAGCUUGCAUACUCAUAUGCCUAACUACAACAAGGUAACUAAGACUGCAAGACCGACAGUUUGGUUGGGGCGACCGCCCCUAAAAACGUAUCAGGGGAACUCUAAAGGUUAUUAUAAUAUGAAAAAUUACCUUACUGUAGACAAACAAGUCAAUCAGUUAUAAUAUAUAGGACAUAUUGACCCGUUAUUUCAUUCAUAACAAAUAACGACUAUGAAAAAAGUUACCGUAGGGAUAACAGGG